AAUUAGCAAUGCUAAUCAUCUCCCACCCUAACAUACAUACCACCAAGAUGGAGAGGCGUAAGAGAUUGGUGCUGCAGGGUCUGAAUGUGCAGGAAGCUGAAUUUAGUGUGCUAUUACAGGAAUCCAUGGGACAUAGCGCAAUGCUCAUGAUAUCUCCAUCUAUGUAAUUGCCAAGAGUCAAGAAGGCCUGGAUCGUUGGGAAGAACUCAAUGGAACCUGGGAUCAUGGUGCAGCAUCCUGAUGGGAUCCAUAGACCUCAAGCAUCUCAGGCUAUGGAGAAUGUAGCAGGUGAUGGUAAGCUCAGCACUCUCUACUCCAGCCACAUCAAGAUGCUUCAGAGCUAUACUCAGCAAACCUGUACAGAAUCUGGUGGGAUAUCCUGCAAGAGUAACACAGUAGGAUAAUAACUGUGUCGUUACUCUUUACCACAGCCUUCUGAAAGAAGCUCUCUGAAGAUGGACGGUGCUUUUUGUUCACUGAGUUUUCAAAAUGAGUAACUUUGGCAUGCACUGAAUACAUGACUCCUUUCCUACUUCCUUUUAGUCUGUUUUCACUUCUAUUUGAGAAGGCUUCUCACUAACAUGCCAGGCUGACACUGAACUUGCUCUGGAACCCAGACAGCCUUUGAACUUGUGAUCUUCUUGCCUCAAACUCCUGAAUAGCUACAAUUACAGACAUGAACAUACUGAUCUUAAUUCUUAAAUCAUGUCGAGUGGAUUGGGUUAAGUAAUUACUUAAGGGAAAAUAUAAAAAUGAAUAAAAUGGGAAAGCAAUAGUAGAAGAUGUGAUUAUACCGAUUAAUCAAUGCUUUUAAAGCAAACACAAUAACUAUAAGUGGGAGUUAAAUUAGCAGUUAAAAUACAGAGAAUUUCAAACUGAGCCAAUGCAAAUUAUUAACUCUAUGCAUUAAUGAAUUAUAUGAGCUAAUUAGGAAUGUGGAACAACUUUAGGAAAUACGUGAAGAUUUAAUAUAUAAUGCUAGUCAAAAUAAAGUACAACUGUAUUACAACAGCAAAUAUUAUGUUAAAAUGUUCUUGCAAAUAUCAUUACACUUUAAUUAUUUUUAAAUGUACCAAUUCAUAAAAUGGUUUAAAAUAGAACUUGUAUGAAUCCAGCAAUAAUUUGAAAAUACAAACAAAAAUAAUAUUUGACAGAUCCACAUUCAUACUUGGAUAUAUAAAUACAUUUCUACUAUGAAUUUAUUUCUUAAUCAGAGACGUAACAAAAGAAAACAAACAAAGAAACAAAGACAAAUUAGGACAAGAAAAAUUUGAGUUUCCUAUUUACCUAGCUAAUUCUGUGGCAUGGAAACUCUCUACUAAGAAAAAAAGACAUAUGGGCAUCAUUACAUUAAAGGAAUUGUAUAAUUUUCUGUAAUUCUAUGAAAUCAAGACCAGAUUUCUGAAAGAUUUGAAAAUUUUAAUACACAUUGUAAAGUGUAUCAUGGUAAUGUGAAAAAUCAAAACAAAAUUGUAGCACAUUCAGAAAUAAAGAAUGCUGCUGAAGUCAUAUAGAAACAAAAGGCCGAAACCUGAGGAGAAAGACAAUGUAAGCUUUUCUCUAACACCAGAAGUUGGUGAACACAUACUAGAAUGAGUUCAAAGCAAAUCAAAAGACAAUUAUAAAAAACUAAUUAAAGUAUGAAAGGUAAGGGAAUGCUAGGUAAAGAAUAAUCAGCUAAAGAAAAAGUUUCUACUCCAUCCCCCGUGCCUGCAUUUCUUGUCGACAGGAUAAAUUUUGGGUCAAAAGUUUUUUGGGUGGGUUGGUGUCUCUCUUGCUCUUCUGGAGUUUCCUAACUGGCUAUGGGAGGUGGCAUCUUCUGGUUUCGUGUCUCCAAUGCUAUGAGUCACCUCCAUUGAUUCUUGAGCACCUCCCUUAAAUUUAUCCUGUCAAUAAGAAAUACAGGGAAAGGGGAUGGAGCAGAGUCUGAGGGAAUGGUCAAGUAAUAACUGGCCCAACUUGAUAUUCAUCCCAUGGGCAAGAACCAAUCCCUGACACUAUUAAUGAUACUCUGUUAUGCUUGCAGACCGGAGCCUAACAUGCUGUCCUAUGAGAGGCUCCACCCAGCAGCUGCCUCAGAUGGAGCUUGGGGACUCUUAUGGAAGGACAGGAAGAAGCAUUGAGGCACUAGGAACUCCACAGGACAACCAAAAGAAUCAAUUAACCUGGGCCCUUGGGGCUCUCAGAGACUGACCCACCAAACAAAAUCCGUGUCUUUAAUACAAUGCCUUGCCUAACUGGACUACGACUCAAGCUUCAGUCCACUCUCGUCUCCUUUUACCCUCUAUAAGCAUGCUCAGGUCUCGGUUUCUUUAUCCUAAAGUUUGCCACAACAAAAUUCUAUCUGAAAUUAUGAAAUACAUUAUAUGGGAUCAAGCACUCGAAGAUAAAGUCUUAUUCAGUAGAUGAAAGAACGCCUAGAGGUGAAAACUGCUAUCCAGGUCGUGCCCUGAAAAAGACCAAGGAAACAGUGCCACCCAAGUCUAGUGUGAUGAGCCAACAAGGCUGUUGAGGCUACUCCCAAGAACAUGGGUGACCCAGAGGCAGCUGAACCACUGAAGAGCCCACCCCAACAUGGGUGAUGAUUCAAGGGAGCUGCAUCUUGGAUCUGCACACAGCUUGAUAGAAUUCUACAAAAGUGUCUUUUCUCUCCUGGCAACUGUAUACUAUUUACAUAACUUAAAGGACAGACUUCCCCAAUCCUGUAACUUUUGAGCUUCCCAAGUCUCACACAUGUUCUUAGUUUCCAUGGUGCUAGGAGCCUCUCUUCUUCCUCCCAGGAAGAAAUACUUAUUCAAGGGAAGCAGCUACAAAAGAGCAUAUAGGCACAGGUUCCCAUUAACUCCAUGGAAUGGCGAUAGGAAUAACUAAAUGAUGACUGCAAGCUAUUUUGUAAUUACAAACUGCUAAAUAAUAAAGGUUGGCUAAUUAUC
ensembl:lincRNA